GGAGGAUCCGAGCGUUAUCCGGAAUCAUUGGGUUUAAAGGGUCCGUAGGUGGACGGUUAAGUCGGGGGUGAAAGUCUGCAGCUCAACUGUAGAAUUGCCCUUGAUACUGGCUGUCUUGAGUUACUAUGAAGUGGUUAGAAUAUGUGGUGUAGCGGUGAAAUGCAUAGAUAUCACAUAGAAUACCAAUUGCGAAGGCAGAUCACUAAUAGUACACUGACACUGAUGGACGAAAGCGUGGGGAGCGAACAGGAUUAGAUACCCUGGUAGUCCACGCCGUAAACGAUGGAUACUAGCUGUUUGGGAUUACCUGAGUGGCUAAGCGAAAGUGAUAAGUAUCCCCCCUGGGGAGUACGGGCGCAAGCCUG
rnacentral:rRNA from 1 species